rnacentral:piRNA from 1 species
UGGUGUUAGAUUUGGUGAAAGCGCCCUUC